UACGUAGGGUGCGAGCGUUAAUCGGAAUUACUGGGCGUAAAGGGUGCGCAGGCGGUUCUGCAAGUCAGGCGUGAAAUCCCCGGGCUUAACCUGGGAAUGGCGCUUGAAACUACGGGACUGGAGUAUGGCAGAGGGAUGUGGAAUUCCAGGUGUAGCGGUGAAAUGCGUAGAUAUCUGGAGGAACAUCGGUGGCGAAGGCGGCAUCCUGGACCGGUAUUGACGCUGAGGCGCGAAAGCCAGGGGAGCAAACGGG
rnacentral:rRNA from 1 species